GCCUUGCUCUUAAGGGGGUGUCCGGAGCUGGGACCUCUGGGGCCGGAAGGCUCCUCGUCCGCGAAGACGUCGAUGAAGCUGCUGUCGAUCUCCGGGUUGUCCGACUGGUACUCCAUGCCGUUGAGCGCCUCUGUGAUGAGGCUGUCCAGCUUGGCGUCAUCCUCCAUGUCCAGAAGAUCGUCGGCUACGCUCACUGUUCUGCACCUGACCUUUUUUUCAUGUAACAACAUAUCCUGUAGAUAAUCCCACAACAUUCCGUGAAGAGGUUUCUCACUCUCUGUCCACUCGUCCUCGCAUCCAGGCUGCAGAGCACCCAGACCUGUCUGGAUGGACACUGGGCUGCUGCCUGCAUUCGGCCCUUAGAAACAAUACAGCAAUGGUCACCACAUGGCGACAGCCUGUGCUCCAAACGCUGUGGGCCUAGCUGCGUCAAAGG
rnacentral:lncRNA from 1 species